rnacentral:rRNA from 1 species
UACGGAGGGUGCAAACGUUGCUCGGAAUCAUUGGGCGUAAAGCGCACGUAGGCGGUCCAGCAAGUCGGGUGUGAAAGCCCUCGGCUUAACCGAGGAAGUGCAUUCGAAACUACUGGACUUGAAUACUGGAGAGGGUUGCGGAAUUCCCGGUGUAGAGGUUAAAUUCGUAGAUAUCGGGAGGAACACCAGUGGCGAAGGCGGCUUCCUGGACACUUACUGACGCUGAGACGCGAAAGCGUGGGGAGCAAACAGG